rnacentral:tmRNA from 1 species
GGGGUUGUUACGGAUUCGACGGGGUACGUGGAGUAUUGUAAGCAUGUCUUGGUUGCGCAAGUAAAAACGUUCGAGGUUUAAUAACCGGAAACAAACAACAAUUAGCAUUCGCGUAAUAUAAACGCAUGCAUCGCUCCUAACUGGUGCCUAUACAGUUAGUGUAGCGAUACGUUCAUAGGCUGGGUUAUAGUUGUGCCGUCUUAACAAUUGUAACUAAGAUCAAUAAGACUCGCGAACGAAUCGGGUGUCUAUUCCCAGUUCUAAGCUAAAUCUAAUAAUAGAAUAAACAUGUAGAAAGCAGUAUAAAAUUUGCUUCGGACGGGGGUUCGACUCCCCCCAACUCCACCA